CGAGUGAUAAGUGCACGUCCUUCUUGUGCUGGAGACCCCAGGCCUGGACGCAGUCCUCCGGAUGGGGCCUCACAGGAGCCAAGUUGAGGGGGACAGUCCAAUCACCUCCCUCUCCCUGCUGCCCGCCCCUUUUCUAGUUCCGCCCAGGAUAUAGGUGGCCUUCCAGGCUGCCUAAGAGAACAGAAGUUACUAAGUUACUGUCACAUAAGUGGGAGCGCCUGGAAGCUCACGUCUUCAGCAAUGUGAGAACCCAGCUCUUUCCAUAUGCACCGUGUGGCCAGUGCAAGGGAGGACUUGGCAGCUGCCCGUGCUGGGAGGGCAGUGGACGCUAUUCUGGGGCCUUGGUCCCUGCUUCAUGCUGCCUUCCCCAUCCCCAUCCCCUUCCCCAUCCCCAUCCGCACCGAGCGGGCAGGGCUGACUCCUGGAUCACAGGCCAAGGUGAGGCAAAGGACUUGCCCUGCACCACCUCAAGCCCGCCUGCCUGCAGGAGGAGCCGACGGCCCGUUCCUGGUGCUGUGGGAGCCCGCAGUCCCCUCGCAGCCAGUCAGGCCGUGCAGGACUUGGUGCUGCGCCUCCAGAUGAGUCACAGAGCCCCAGGCUGCCCCCAGGGCACGGCCGGGGGGGAGAAGAAGCCCCAGCCAACUUGCCGGGGCUUAUCCUCAUCUGCAUGUCCUCCUGUGGGACAGCACACCAUCCCUGCUACUCCCGAGCCCAUCUCCCGCCUCGAUCCCCAGGGAGGCCCCCGUAGAGAAAGCUCUUCGGCACUAGUAGAUACACUCAUUUAUUUAGGAAAAAAAGAAAAAGACUUUUUUGUACAGACGGCGCUACCGAGCCCGGCCUU
rnacentral:lncRNA from 7 species